rnacentral:lncRNA from 1 species
UUUUCUCUUUUCUUCUUCAUUUACAUGUGAAGGCCAGCUGCUCCACUUCUGAACUCCAACAGCGAGAAGAUUUCUGAGCCUAGUGUGGAAGCCAACAGCCAUUACGGUAAAUCCAAGUCUUCCUUUAAUUACAAAAGUUUUUCCCAACUCAAUGUAUAAGGUAGGAUUGGAGUAGAAGGGAAACCCCAGCUUCAGGCAGUGGUACCGUUACCGUAUAUAACAAACCAUGAGAAGAUUAGUGAUACACAGCAAACAGAAAGGAAAGGCAGGACCUUUUCUGCUUUCCCCAUCUCUGCUUCAUUUCUUUGGGAUGAAAAAUGGAGACUGACCCUACUGCUUGUUGCCUCCAUAGACUGAAAUAAUUAGGCAGUACAUGGGAGACAGAAACCAGAUUUUUUUUUUUUUUUUUUUUUUUUGAGACAGUGUUUUUCUGUGUAGCCCUGGCUGUCCUGGAACUCACUCGGUAGACCAGGCUGACCUCGAACUCACAGAGAUCCGCCUCCCUCUGCCUCCCAAGUGCUGGGAUUAAAGGCGUGUGCCACCACUGCCUGGCUUGAGAAGUCACUCUGGUGCAGGCCUCAGAGGAGAGAGGCUGCCCAGUGAGUCUCAGGACCCUUGGGUCUGUGAGAAAGUCACUCAGAGGCAGGUGUGGUGGCUCACUCUGAACAUCUCAGCACUCUGUAGGGAGGAAGGAGCAGAUGCAGAUGGACAUAUUGGAGUCCAUCUUGGUCUACAUAGUGAGUUCCAAGCCCAGUUGGGGCUCCAUAUCAAAACCUUGUCUCAAAACAAGCAAUAAAAACAAACAAGUAAUUUGAAUAAUAGCACUGAUUAGCACAAACACACUUUGGAAAACCAUGUGUUCCUGAAGAAUAGUAUAAUACCUUAUAUAUAAGAAUAUCCUAAGGAAAACAACAUGCUAAGAUGUUUGUUUGUUUGUUUGCUUGCUUUAUAGUGCUUGGGAUUGAGCCAAAGCCUUCACACAUUCUGGGCAAGGGCAUUACCACCAAGCAAGCCUCACACUUCAUUUUGUGUAUGUGCACUGGUGUGAUAAUCCAGAGACACUGUUAUUUCUUUAAGUCGUAUUCUCAUCAACUUACUUCCCUAACCAGACAAUGUUAGCUAACCAUCAGCUUUCAUAUUUAUUUUUAGUCACUGGCCCUUUCUAGAAAGGAGCUUCAUUUUUAAUUAGUUCUUACAUCAAACCAUUCUGAAUUCCAAAUAACUCUCAAACGAAAGUGCCCCUCUGCAGCCAUACUUUCUAUCCAGGCAGUGGAGGGAGGGCCCACUGCAUGCAGGAAAAGCUCACACCGCAGAGACAAAGGAGGAGACCCAGGGCCAGAGGCGAAGGUGCUUGUCACCUGGAGAGGUCAGACUUGACUUUCUUAGCAGUACUGGAGGUUUUAGAAGUACUGGGGAGAUGGUGAAGUGUUUGCUGUUGCUGUGUGGAUGUGAGGCCUUGGGUUUGGUUCCCUAGCACCUAUAUAUAAGCCACAUGUGACAGCAAGCACCUGUAACCCCAGUACAGGGGAGGUGGAUGGAAGUGACCACACCCCAUGGGCUCCAUCAUGAGCUAGUCCUGCUGAAUCAGCAAGCUCCAGGUUCACAGAGACGCUGCCUCAAAAAAUAAGGCGGAGGGAGAGUGAUAGAGCUUCCUCUAUCAUGUGAUGUCACACGAGCACACGCACACUUGUGCACACACACAUAUGCAUGGGGGAGAGCACACACUCACACACAUGCACUCACACUCACAUCAAUGGGUAAGGGCACACACACAUACAUGAGUGAGAACGAACACACACACACACACACACACACACACACACACACACACACACACAGUUACGGUUACAGGAAACUGAUAUCUAUUGUCACUCAUCCUGACUGUUAAUUUUUCAACCAGGUUAUGAUGAUGUUUCUGGAAAUGAUGCAGUAAAACCCAUAAAUCAAAAUAAAGGUAAUUAUUUAAAAAUUGUAGUAGAAACUUUUACAU